rnacentral:tRNA from 1 species
CCCCUCGUAGCUCAGCGGUUAGAGCACUUGGCUGUAGCCCGAGAGAUCGGCGGUUCAAAUCCGCCCGAGGGGA